CUUUGACUUAUUGACUUCUGACUUAUUAAGAUCUUUGAUUUCCAAUGUAAGAUGGAAAUACUUUUAAACGCAAACGAUUCACAAUACUUUGCGGAGAGAAACGCUACACAGAUAUCAUAGCAUUGAUUUUGGAGUUGUUAAAAAUCCGUGCAUUUCAAACAAUAGAAGUUAAUGCCGUAUCUACACCGUCGAGAUGAAAAGCCGUCUUUACGCACCAGGAUAUGUGAUAAAGACGGUGUCUGGCGUAGAUCAUGCCGGUAACAGAUACAUUCAGUCAAGUUGUAAAAAUCAUAUACAUAAAUCAACGUGUAUGAGUAUUAAAGAUUUAUGUUAUUAGGGCCUCCUCUACUGAAGUUUAUUAGAUUUUAGAGGUGUUCUCAAGAGACGCCCACAGGGCUACCCAAACUUUAAAAACUAAAAGUUUUGUCGCUCAUUACCUGCAAAUUAUCUUCAAGCCGUGCUAUGUUACAAAUCCAACAAUAAAUGAAACAAUGGCAGACAACUAUCAGGGUGAGUUUUUUUAUAUAAAUUAUCUAAAUAUAUUUUAAAGUGAAUAUUUGUUUAAUGUCUCGUGGAUGAUCUCUAGGUGGUUUCGAGAAUCAGGAUUUCGAUGAAGGUUUGGAACAGAUCCUUGAAGAGUUAUUUGAUGAGGAUGUGUGGUUUGCUUGUGAUGAACCCGGAGCUGUUAAUAACGACGAGCAAGCUGUUGUCGACAAUCAAGCGGUGAUAAUUCCUCCAGAAAACGUUUCACAAGAGGUUGUGAUUAGUACCGAAUCACAACACGAUCUAGGACACGUCACGAAUCCCGCACCCGCUGGCGCUCUGGCUUCCGAAGGAGCUUCUCACAACCCCCCAGAUGUCUCAAGCGUUCGCACUGAAGUUAGCGUUACGUGUAGGCCUCGUCACUCGGAGGGUCAGGGGGUAAAACGUUUGAGGCUACCGGAGCGGGAAACGGAUGAUAUUCCAACCACCAGUCGUUUAAGGACUUCGGAGAAUAAUGAUCAAGGAUAUGACGAAGGAGGACUAACAGCCUGGA